rnacentral:rRNA from 1 species
AACUCUUAGCGGUGGAUCACUCGGCUUGUGUGUCAAUGAAGAAUGCAGCUAGCUGCGAGAAUUAAUGUGAAUUGCAGGACACGUUGAUCAUCGACACUUUGAACGCACUUGCGACCCCAGGUUCCUCCCAGGGCUAUGCCUGUCUGAACAUCA